AAGCACGAAGAUCACUAAGGGCUUUUCGGUUGAAGCUUGGUUAGGUUAACAAACAAGGGUCAUUUCUAAGGCCAUUGAAAACGAAAUUGCCGACGCAAAAGAGACAUUCACUAUACAUUAUUCACACAUCUCAACUUCGUUCCAUUUAUUUCUCAUUUGCAACCUUCACAACUUUUAUUUCACAACUCCAUUUUUUUGUUUUUCACUAUUUUUCUUCCAAGCAAGCAUUCAUUUUUAUUUUCUCUCUAUAUUUUUUUUUUCUUUUUCUUUCACAUCAUAUUUACAAAAUAGAUGUUUCUCUUUUCUAUGUUAUAUAUAUAUAUAUAUAUAUUUUU
rnacentral:lncRNA from 1 species